GAAGUUUUAGCCCACACUGCCUCAUGGGGAGAGGACAGUGGGAGACACCUGGGAUGUCUGGCCAUUGUGGUGUGUUGUGUUGUUUGUGAUACAUGGGACAGGGACCCAGGAUGCUGUGCGUUUUAGGCAAGUGCUCUACCCUGAGCUACAUCUUCUGCCCUACUUAUCUUUUAUUUUGAGCAGGGCCUUGGCUGAGUUUCCCAGUCUGGCCUUGAACUUGGUUGGGAUCCUUCUGCCUCAGCCUCCCAGAGUGCUGAGUUUACAGGUGUGCACCAUCACACCCUUCAUCUUCUUGUGACCUUGGGGAAAUAUUUUCCUGGGCCUCAGUUGCGCCUCUUGUGAAACUGGGGCUUUGAGCUACAAUGGCCUUUCAAGUCCCCUAAGCCUCGCACUGCUCAGCCCACCUUUUCAUCAUCCAAGGCAAUGGUGCGUGAAGAACAGGCCGAAGGAACUCACCUGAGCACGUUUCUGCUCCUCGCUGAAGGCCACCAGGAUGACAGAGAUAAACAGAUUCAGAACCACAAACGUCAUAAAAAUGACGCACGACCCAAUGAGGAAGGAGCCAAGCACUGGGCUGGAGUCCAGGACCUGCCAGGAAGAAGCCAGCGUCACUCCUGGGGUCUUGGGUCUUAACGGACACCCCGCCCCCACCUUCAGAGGGGGGCGUGGUCCUGGGAGCUGGGCGGAGCCGGGAGCCGGGAGUUCCCUCUACCUGGGGAGGGAGUGGGCUGCACCCUUGCCCGCCACCGCCUCCUCCGAAGACAGCGCCAUCUCUGGCUGGGGCUGGGAAUGUCCCCGUUGAGAUCACCCGCCCAGCCCUCCCAAGUCGCCAGCCCCUGGAGCUCUUCUGUGUGCAUUGGUCUCCUGCGCAGCCUGCCUGCGGGACGGGACGGGAGAGACAUUUUAUUUUUUCAAAGCUGCUUUGUGUUUGCCAGGCCCUGAGCCCAAAGGAUGACGGGAAUGGGGAGAAAAGACAAAGCCAGAGCUCCAAUCCACCUACCUCAAGACCAGUUGUCAUCCUCUGGCCAGCCCAGCGUGAUGGUAGUGAAAGGAUCCACAAACAGACCGGGGUCAUCGUACAGCUCUGCAUGCCCUUUGUCUCUCUGCAGAGGAAGCAGCUGCUGAGAUCUCUGGGAUUGGAAUAUACUGGAACUCAUGUCUUUCCCAGGUCGCUUGGCCCCUUCAAAGUUGCUGAUGGGAGACAUCUAGGACAAUACCGACACCAGGUUUUCACUAGCUCCUCAUACUUCUGUUUCUGAGGUAACCAGUAUAACUUUGAAAGGCUCAUCUUGAAAGAGAGCCUAGACUUGUUUUCUAAGUAUUCUCCCCUUUUCUGAUAACUUGCAGGAGGACAAGGUUGGUGUAUUCACAGGGCUUCUGACAGUUGGAAGAUGAGCCCUUGGACAGGGAAAGACUGGAACAUAGCUCACCCUCUGCCUGAGAUUCACACAGCCCUCCGUCAAUGCCAGUGGGUGAGGCCCUUCUGCCAAGUUUUCCUGAGCCUCCCCCAUCCCACACAACACAAGCGCUACUCCAUUUCUACUUAUCCCAAUGUCGUGACAACUGCUUCUUUCUUUUCUGCUCAAUGCCACUUUGUCGUCCUUGUGAUUCAUGAUCACUAUUCAAUUCUAUCAUUGUUCCUGUUCCUGCUUCUUAGAAUCUCUUCUCAUGAAUGCUUCAGUAUUCAAUGAAUAAAUCAACUUUUUUAAGUGGGCCCCAAAGACUCAAAGAUUAUAAUUAUUACCUUCAGAAAGAACAUAAAUCCACGCUAACAUUUUCAAAAUGUCAAACAUUAUGAAAAGGU
rnacentral:lncRNA from 1 species